rnacentral:antisense_RNA from 1 species
GAGACAUAGGCAUACAAAUUAAGCCGCGGCCAUGUGUUGCCAUAAAGUUAAUCGCUUCAGGCGUUACUUUUUCAGCAGCCAUGAUG